rnacentral:misc_RNA from 1 species
CUGUUCCAGUCGACCGAAUGACCUCACAGGGGUCCCCAAGGUCAUUGUCACAGCUGAAUGACAUGGAUAUUUUUUCUCAUUCUUUUUCAUCCCAGUGAGAAAGUUUUGAUUGCAGAAAAAUAAACCUUGUGCAUCUCUGUUUAAGGUGAUGUAAUUUUUGCAGCUCAUCUCAUUCAAUUAUUUAUGCUGAUAUCAGGGAUUCUAUUGACAAAAACAGAGUGCUGUAAAUAUAUUGGUUUUAUUCCUACAUGUAUCCUUGUCAGUGGUUAAAAAUCAAAUCAGCGAGAAAUCAAACACCUGACUGCAGUGUUGUAACUACAAGUGGUGCUAUAAAUCCUUUGCUCCAAAAUUUGUGAAAAAAAAUAUUUCAGUCCCAUGGACUAUAAAGAAAUCUCUGUUAGAAUGAGAUAGUGCAAUUAAACUGUUAUACAAUGUAUUUACAUGUUUUAUUUAGUGACAUGUAUUAGCAUUUUUUCAAAGACUGUGAUAUUAUUUUAAUUUGUGUUAUAACAUUGCAACUGUAAACUUUUGACCAUAUACCUCAAUAGAGCUCAGUGAGUGUUGAGAGCUACUUCUAAAGAUCUUAUAUCUUCAGUGGAUCCUUGAAAAAGAUAACGAUGUGUUAACAUUAUAACAUGUUUAACUUUUGAUUCAUGAUUCAAUGACUAUUUUAGAAUGAGAUGUUUACAGGUUCUUGUAUAUUAGAUCUUAAAAUGAUUUUUGUUCUUCAUUGCAUAAUAUCUGAAUGACAAUUUUGUGAAAAAAAGCAAAAUCACUGCCAACAUAUGAUAUCAUUAAAAAUGUAUUCAAAUGUC